rnacentral:rRNA from 1 species
AUGGUGGAUUUUGAGAAAGCGUACGAUAAGGUUAAAUGGCCAUUUCUACAGGAGGCCUUGCGGAUGAAAGGAUUCGAUCAGUCCUGGAGAAAGCAGGUAGAUUUUUUUACGCAAAAAGGCAGUGUCGGAAUCAAAGUGAAUGAUGACAUAUGUCAUUAUUUUCAGACACACAAGGGUCUGAGGCAAGGAGACCCGAUGUCACCUAUCUUGUUCAACAUAGUAGUGGACAUGUUGACAAUUCUAAUAGGAAGAGCUAAAGACAAUGGCCAGGUAGGCGGGCUCGUCCCGCAUUUAGUGGACGGAGAAGUGUCCAUUAUGCAGUACGCUGAUGAUGCUAUCAUCUUCAUGGAGCAUGAU